AGUUUUAUAUUCAAUAUAUGAUUUUAAAUUGCAAAUUUAAAGUAGUAAAUUAUUUUACUAAAGCUU
rnacentral:tRNA from 1 species